UACGAAGGGGGCUAGCGUUGCUCGGAAUACUGGGCGUAAAGCGUGCGCAGGCGGUUAUGUAAGACAGUUGUGAAAUCCCCGGGCUCAACCUGGGAACUGCAUCUGUGACUGCAUAGCUAGAGUACGGUAGAGGGGAUGGAAUUCCGCGUGUAGCAGUGAAAUGCGUAGAUAUGCGGAGGAACACCGAUGGCGAAGGCAAUCCCCUGGACCUGUACUGACGCUCAUGCACGAAAGCGUGGGGAGCAAACAGG
rnacentral:rRNA from 1 species